rnacentral:tRNA from 1 species
AUAGGGAGACCCGACCAGAGUCAAGGUGAAAAAACUAAUUAGCCUGACUCUCGGACAAUCCCGAGGUCGUUCGGGGUGAAAUGGAAAUCGUUGUUUCAAACUGAGUUCGGUUCGGAGUAAGGGCUAUUAGCUCAGGUGGUUAGAGCGCACCCCUGAUAAGGGUGAGGUCCCUGGUUCAAGUCCAGGAUGGCCCACCUGAACCCCAAAGCCAAAUUCCCCUCCUCAAACCCAACAGUUAGACCUGUGGGCGAGUGAGGCGAGUGCGGAUGGCAUAACUCAAACGGGGGUAUAGCUCAGUUGGUAGAGCGCCUGCUUUGCAAGCAGGAUGUCAGCGGUUCGAGUCCGCUUACCUCCACCAAACCGCCCAAGCCAAGAUUGAGAAAAAUUCAGCACCGGCUGUCAGCAGCAGACUGCUGGAGAAAAUCUCCAGUCAAAGAACCUUGAAAACUGCAUAGUCAUAAGUCAGGCAAGAAGGAGAUUAGUUUUACUAAUCGACUUCACAGACAAAAAAAGUCAAGCAAAGCCAAAAAGCAAAAGAAUCUUCUAGU